AUGGAGUCAGACUUGAGCGCAGAGACCAAUCCUGGGCUGCGGGACUUUUAGUGCCAAGAAAGUUCCAGGCAAACCAAAUGAGUUGGUCAUCCUACAUGCAGGGAUACACACUGAAUUCUGUGGAGGUGUUCACAAGAAGCUUUCCCCCCUCCCUUUCCUAGAGGGAUAAAAGACAAACGAGGGGCUGUUCAUGGUAAUCCAAGGAAGUGGUUGGAGUGAAUUCUACAAUUCUUUGGCCUUUAAGUCCUGAAGAUGACUAGUUAAAUAAUUUGAUGCACAGACCCUGACCACCAUUCUAAUGAGCUCUGGUACUAUCUUCAGCCUCCUUUUCUAGGAACCAGCCUCCAUGCAUGACACUGACAGCUCCAGUGCCUUGCAGCAACUUCAUUACAGUUGUGAGGAGUAAAUGGGAUAAUACACACAGACUGCUCUCAGCAGGACUGUCUCAUGGUUCCCAAAACAGCCUUGAGAAGAGGUUGUGAGUCUACUCCCUCUGUUCAGUAAGCAAGCUCUUGAUGUUGACUGGACUUUCCUUGGGAACUUCCCACAAGGAAGAAAGACUCUGCCCAUUAGGAGCAUUUUUCCUUGCUGCUGCAAUUCAAGGCCAUGAAUGCUCAACAAAUUCUCAGCCAAUCUGAUGGGGAUUUCUGGAGAAACAGAAAGCCUGACCACAGUUUUCUUUAUAGGACUAUGUAUCUACAGCUAAUUGGUUAACUUGUGCUUGUUCAAGAAAUCCAUAAUGUCUAUAGCUUUCUUGUCAUUAUCCUCACCGUCACAAGGUGGCAACUAUCAUAUUCACCUUCAAGGCCAGAAGGAGAAAGGGCAUUGCAGUGUGUCUGUCUCUUUUCAUCAGAAAAUCAAAACCUCUUCAGGAAUUCUGCAGGGAAAUUUCCUUUCCUUAGGUCCCUUUGGCCAGAAAGAAGGUAUACGAGGGCUUCCAAGAAUGCUGAGAGAGUGAGAAUAGGAUUAUCAUGAUUGACUUACACCAAUAAAAAUGUAUU